UCGGGAAUUUUGGGCAAUGGGCGAAAGCCUGACCCAGCAACGCCGCGUGAGGGAUGAAGUAUUUCGGUAUGUAAACCUCGAAAGAAUGGGAAGAAUAAAUGACGGUACCAUUUAUAAGCUCCGGCUAACUACGUGCCAGCAGCCGCGGUAAUACGUAGGGAGCAAGCGCUGUUCGGAUUUACUGGGCGUAAAGGGCGCGUAGGCGGCGCGGUAAGUCACUUGUGAAAUCUCUGAGCUUAACUCAGAACGGCCAAGUGAUACUGCUGUGCUAGAGUGCGGAAGAGGCAACCGGAACUCUUGGUGUAGCGGUGAAAUGCGUAGAUAUCAAGAGGAACACCUGAGGCGAAGGCGGGUUGCCGGGCCGACACUGACGCUGAUGCGCGAAAGCCAGGGGAGCAAACG
rnacentral:rRNA from 1 species